rnacentral:tRNA from 1 species
GGAAACAGAACUCGGUUGGUAGAGUGUCUCCCUUUUAAGGAGAAAGUCAGUGGUUCGAUCCCACUUGUUUUCA